GGCCGAAUUAGGAGUCCUUUCAUUAGGGUUUUAGUCCAAAAUAAGCCAAGGCCGUCGGCCAUUAAAAGGAGCCAUUAGGGCCCUUAGGCAAUCAUCUCUUAGAACAUUGUUUUUCCACCAUUGUGUCAAGGGUUGUAUCCCUUUCUUUUGUCGGCCGAAAGGCUUGGGACUAGGGUGGGGAACAUCAGCCCCCCUAGAUUGUUCUUAGGUAGUGCAAGGUCCCUUCCCGACCUUUGCCAAGUCCUUUUUGUAAUCCGUUGUUUAGUGGAAUGAAAUCACCUUUCUU
rnacentral:lncRNA from 1 species